UACGUAGGGUGCGAGCGUUGUCCGGAAUUACUGGGCGUAAAGAGCUCGUAGGUGGUUUGUCGCGUUGUUCGUGAAAACUCACAGCUCAACUGUGGGCGUGCGGGCGAUACGGGCAGACUGGAGUACUGCAGGGGAGACUGGAAUUCCUGGUGUAGCGGUGGAAUGCGCAGAUAUCAGGAGGAACACCGGUGGCGAAGGCAGGUCUCUGGGCAUUAACUGACGCUGAGGAGCGAAAGCAUGGGGAGCGAACAGGA
rnacentral:rRNA from 1 species